UGUAGCAAGGUUAACCGUAUAGGGGAGCCGGAGGGAAACCGAGUCUUAACCGGGCGUUAAGUUGCAGGGUAUAGACCCGAAACCCGGUGAUCUAGCCAUGGGCAGGUUGAAGGUUGGGUAACACUAACUGGAGGACCGAACCGACUAAUGUUGAAAAAUUAGCGGAUGACCUGUGGCUGGGGGUGAAAGGCCAAUCAAACCGGGAGAUAGCUGGUUCUCCCCGAAAGCUAUUUAGGUAGCGCCUCGUGAAUUCAUCUCCGGGGGUAGAGCACUGUUUCGGCUAGGGGGCCAUCCCGGCUUACCAACCCGAUGCAAACUGCGAAUACCGGAGAAUGUUAUCACGGGAGACACACGGCGGGUGCUAACGUCCGUCGUGAAGAGGGAAACAACCCAGACCGCCAGCUAAGGUCCCAAAGUCAUGGUUAAGUGGGAAACGAUGUGGGAAGGCCCAGACAGCCAGGAUGUUGGCUUAGAAGCAGCCAUCAUUUAAAGAAAGCGUAAUAGCUCACUGGUCGAGUCGGCCUGCGCGGAAGAUGUAACGGGGCUAAACCAUGCACCGAAGCUGCGGCAGCGACGCUGAUGCGUUGUUGGGUAGGGGAGCGUUCUGUAAGCCUGCGAAGGUGGCCUGUGAGGGUUGCUGGAGGUAUCAGAAGUGCGAAUGCUGACAUAAGUAACGAUAAAGCGGGUGAAAAGCCCGCUCGCCGGAAGACCAAGGGUUCCUGUCCAACGUUAAUCGGGGCAGGGUGAGUCGACCCCUAAGGCGAGGCCGAAAGGCGUAGUCGAUGGGAAACGGGUUAAUAUUCCCGUACUUGGUGUUACUGCGAAGGGGGGACGGAGAAGGCUAUGUUGGCCGGGCGACGGUU
rnacentral:rRNA from 1 species